rnacentral:rRNA from 1 species
AAGAUGGGCUCGCGUCCGAUUAGAUAGUUGGUAGGGUAAAGGCCUCCCAUGUCAACGAUCGGUAGCCGGUUUGAGAGGUUGAACGGCCACAUGGGGACUGAGACACGGCCCAGACUCUUACGGGAGGCAGCAGUGGGGAAUAUUGGGCAAUGGGGGAAACCCUGCCCCAGCAACGCCGCGUGAAGGAAGAAGGUCUUAAAAAAAAAAACUUCUUUGAUCAGGGACGAAGAAAUGACUGUACCUGAAGAACAAGUCACGGCUAACUACGUGCCAGCAGCCGCGGUAAUACGUAGGUGGCGAGCGUUAUCCGGAUUUACUGGGUGUAAAGGGCGUGUAGGCGGGUCUGUAAGUCAGAUGUGAAAUCUCCGGGCUUAACUCGGAAGGGUCAUCUGAAACUGCGGAUCUUGAGUACUGGAGAGGAUAGUGGAAUUCCUAGUGUAGCGGUGAAAUGCGUAGAUAUUAGGAGGAACACCAGUGGCGAAGGCGGCUAUCUGGACAGUAACUGACGCUGAGGCGCGAAAGCGUGGGGAGCAAACAGGAUUAGAUACCCUGGUAGUCCACGCCGUAAACGACAAAUACUAGGUGUAGGAGGUAUCGACUCCUCCUGUGCCGCAGCUAACGCAAUAA